UACAGAGGGGGCAAGCGUUGUUCGGAAUUACUGGGCGUAAAGGGCGCGUAGGCGGCCUGUUAAGUCGAACGUGAAAUCCCCGGGCUCAACCCGGGAACUGCGUCCGAUACUGGCAGGCUUGAAUCCGGGAGAGGGAUGCGGAAUUCCAGGUGUAGCGGUGAAAUACGUAGAGAUUGGGAAGAACACCAGUGGCGAAGGCGGCUAUCUGGACGGUUUCUGACGCUAAGACGCGAAAGCGUGGGGAGCAAACAGG
rnacentral:rRNA from 1 species